GUCGCCUCAGGGGCGGCCACGGGCGCGACUUCACCGUUCUGGACGGUGACGGUCGGCGCAGGCUGGGUCGGGUCUUGCGAGGCGACGC
rnacentral:tRNA from 1 species